GUGGGAAAGUCCAAGGGGCCUAUCACAGCUGGCAGGUCUGUAUUUAUAUCCAGGCUGACAUGGAACAGCCAGUAGUUCAGGGUUCAACAUUCAGGAAAGUGUGAGACCUUCCACACUGACAGAAGAUGCUGCACAUGAUUAAACUGUUGUUUGUUAAAGCCUCACAGAUCUGAGAGCAGAGCUCAGUGGGUGCACGAGCCUUUAUACAUGAAGCGUUUCAGGUUCAUUUAAAUCAGUGUUUCUGUUUCCAGCAGAGCAAACAUGAUCCAGCUGUUUCACAUGGAUCUGUGUGGAUGCAGCAGCACCUGACUCUGUACAUCAGCUCUCAGGCGAUGCUGCAGCGCCCCCUGCUGACACAAACUCCUCCCUCUGUCUCAGAGGUCAGAGGUCAGCCUGCUGCUGAGGGUCUGCCUGUUCAUGGACUUCCUGUCACAGACCCGGGUCUCAGCGUCAACGCUGGUUUCUGAUUGGAUGGUGUGGAAACCCCGCUUCCUCCAGCCGAGUGAUGUGUGGAUUCAUCACUCUCUGUGGAUCAGUCAGAUGGCCCCGCCCCUCCCUGAGCCUGGUCUGUGCUGAGUUUGUUUCCUCUCUGCUUUCGUGCCUUUCUGCCAUCAUUGACAGCGUUACUCUUCAACUGGAGGCAAAAACACUGAAAACACCGUUCAAGUCCAAACUCAGUGUUGUAAAUGACAUCAUUCAUUUUUGGUAAAUUGGUUCAUAAGUGGUUAUUAUUCUGCUGCAGCUUGGACCGACCUGAUGCUUUUACUUUGAAAGGUACAGAACGACACGAUGCCGUAAACCAGGUGCCGUAAAGCGCACAGCAGCAGCAGCAGCGGGAGUUUGAAUGCGCAGGGAGCUGAUUGGUUAGUAAACAGUCUGCUGUUGGACGCUGUCAGGCCCAUGAAGCUCUGCUCUAAACGCUUCCAUGUCCCAGGCUUCACCU